GCAUAUCAAUAGCGGAGGAAAAGAAACCAACAGGGAUUGCCUUCAGUUAACGGCGAAGUGAAGCGGCAAAAGCUCAAAUUUGAAAUCUCGGCUCCUUUGGGGCCCGAGUUGUAAUUUGCAGAGGAUGCUUCGGGCGUGGCCGCGGUCUAAGUCCCCUGGAACGGGGCGUCGCAGAGGGUGAGAAUCCCGUCUUCGGCCGGCCGGCUUCGCCCAUGUGAAGCUCCUUCGACGAGUCGAGUUGUUUGGGGAAUGCAGCUCUAAAUGGGUGGUAAAUUUCAUCUAAAGCUAAAUAUUGGUCGGAGACCGAUAGCGCACAAGUAGAGUGAUCGAAAGAUGAAAAGCACUUUGAAAAGAGAGUUAAACAGCAUGUGAAAUUGUUGAAAGGGAAGCGCUUGCGACCAGAGUCGGCCGUGGGGGUUCAGCGGGCAUUCGUUGCCCGUGCACUCCCCCACGGGCGGGCCAGCGUCGGUUUCGACGGCCGGUCAAAGGCCCCCGGAAUGUGUCGCCUCUCGGGGCGUCUUAUAGCCGGGGGUGCAAUGCGGCCAGUCGGGACCGAGGAACGCGCUUCGGCACGGACGCUGGCUUAAUGGUCGUAAGCGACCCGUCUUGAAACACGGACCAAGGAGUCUAACAUCCACGCGAGUGUUCGGGUGUCAAACCCGUCCGCGCAGUGAAAGCGAACGGAGGUGGGAACCCUUAAGGGUGCACCCAUCGACCGAUCCUGAAGUCUUCGGAUGGAUUUGAGUAAGAGCGUGGCUGUUGGGACCCGAAAGAUGGUGAACUAUGCCUGAAUAGGGUGAAGCCAGAGGAAACUCUGGUGGAGGCUCGCAGCGGUUUCUGACGUGCAAAUCGAUUCGUCGAAUUUGGGCAUAAGGGGCGAAAGACUAAUCGAACCAUCUAGUAGCUGGGUUCUGCGA
rnacentral:rRNA from 1 species